GGGCGAGUGGCGAAAUGGCAGACGCGCUAGCUUCAGGUGCUAGUUCUCGCAAGGGAGUGCGGGUUCAAGUCCCGCCUCGCCCACCA
rnacentral:tRNA from 1 species